AAAAGGAAAGAAAAUGAGAAAAAAAGAAAAGGGGAGAACAAAGAUGAGGUACUAGUGACAAAUGAGACGAUGAUAAUAGUAACGAUAGAGACCAUAAUGAUAGUGGUGAAGGUCAUAAUGAAAACCAUGUAAUUGAAGAAGGUAGAGAGGAGAAGGCAAAGGUAACAAAAAUGAUGAAGAAUGAAGAGAAGAGAAAAAUAAAAAUAAAAAAAAGGAAAAAUAGAAAGACAAAUAAUUAUCAUCAAAUUUUGACCGUAAAUAUUAAUUAUUGACAUAUUUUAAUUAUUGAUAAUUACUGAUAAAU
rnacentral:lncRNA from 1 species